GUUGCAGCACGUCAGGGCUCACGGUGGAGCACUAGGGCUCUCUACUACUCCGCAGCGGUCAGUUUGACUACCCAGGAGACAUGUGGCAACGUCUUGAGAUGCACUGUGACCGGCUGCUUCCUAUUCCCGCAACCAUGAUGUCCCCGUCAAGGAUGGGUGGUACUUUCGGUGAGGCAAAGCAGCAAGCCCUUCUAUAAGUUGUAUUUGCCAGGCUUGUUGGUACAGCCACAGGGAAAGCGACUAAAGCAAUUACCAUGCUCUGGCUGUCAACUGUAGAGGUAGUCUGGGUUAGCCCCAAACCUACUUCGAAUAGGAUCUAGAGGAGACACCCCCAGUAACCCACCCCUUCCGGUGGAUGGAAUGCCUUCUACCCAUCCAUCAUACAUGGCUUGGAUAUGACAUAUCACCCCACAAUCUCCUACGCCGAAGUAUGAAACACCAACUGAUGGAUCCAAAGAGGCCAUUGGAUCUGGAAGCACCAGACAUCGUCAACAAAGUAAUUAACCCCUGAGUUCAUAGCCUGCUGGCUGUUGGUGAGAGUGAGCUGGUUGAAGCUCCUGCCAUCAUCAUGCCAACACCACCGUCUUUGAAGGGCCAGGCUUGUCCCGCCCUUGGCUCCUCCUCCUGUCCUCCCUGUGAGCUGAGCUGCCCUGCUGUACCUCAUGCUCCUGCCUCACCCCAGCCCAAAGACAAUGAAAACCUGUAAACCCGUGAGCCAAAAUAAAUUCU
rnacentral:sRNA from 1 species